GUCUGACUCUUAGCGACCCCUAGCCCAUAAUAAGUUAUCAAUUAUUAUGUAGAUCAUAGAAGGGAGUUGAAUGUUAUGUAAAUACAGUGGAAAGCCAUUGAAAUGUUUUCAGUAGGGGAAAGGGUUGACUCAGUUUUUAUUUUUAUAUGAUCACAUUCUCCAUUGGAUGGAGAAUGAGUUGGAGGGAGGUGGAAACUAGACCACUCACUUAUGAAGCUAUUACAUUGGUCCAGGAGAGAGAGACCAUUGCUAUACAGUGGUGACAAAGGAGACAGAGAGACAUGAGCAGAUCUUAGAUCUAUUUUGAAGACAGAAUUGAAUGGACCUGUAGAAGGGUGAGGGGAUGGAGACAUCAAGAAGCUCUCAAAAAAGGCUGUGGUGUGCCAGACUGGGGAAGCCUGAAAGGGAAAGACUUAGAAACUGGGAGGGGAUUAGGGUUUGAUUUUGAACUCAGUAAGUUUGAGAUGUUAUGAAAUAUGGAAGCAGACGUUGUCAAGUAGGCAGUUCCAUCUACAAAUACAAAACUAGAUAUAUGUUAAAAUCUUUUAAUGCAUCUAGGCUUCAUUAAUCUUAUUUGUUGUCAAUCAUGAAUUUGUAUUCAACAAGUAGUUAUUAAGCAACAAAUUAUGCAUUGAAUGCUAACAUAUUUUAUUGGCAGUGGAACAUUUUAAUUGGAUUCUUUCCUCUAACUAGAAAAGUGCUAUAUCUUGCACAUGCACUGUUGGCUGUAUAAUAUUCUACCAUAUGGCUAUAAAUAAUUUAAUCAUUUUGUUUUUUUCUAAUUUUUUGACAUUUGAAAUAAUACUUCAAUGAAUUUUUUUUUGUUCAUAAAUCUACAUCUGAGCUUUUAAAGUAAUUUUUGAGGGGGUUUAGGAUAGGUUUGUAGAAACAAUUCUUUGUCAACAAACAUGAUCUUUUUUAGGAUUCUUUUUUUAGUAGUAAAAUAUUAUUGUCUAUAUUCAUUAUACUGUGUACUAGAUCUCUUUUUUAGGACUUUGGAAACAUACUGUCAACUCAGUUUCCAAAAAAGUUGUAUUCAUUUACACUCUUGGUCACAAUCUAUGGAUGUUCACCAUACCAUGGGGAUCAAAAUUAAAAACUUUUGCUAAUCUAAAGUGAAGUGAAGUGAAGUCACUCAGUUGUGUCCAACUCUUUGCGACGCCAUGGACUGUAGCCUACCAGGCUCCUCAGUCCGUGGGAUUUUCCAGGCA
rnacentral:lncRNA from 1 species